rnacentral:rRNA from 1 species
AUUGAACGCUGGCGGCAUGCUUUACACAUGCAAGUCGAACGGCAGCGCGGGCUUCGGCCUGGCGGCGAGUGGCGAACGGGUGAGUAAUGCAUCGGAACGUGCCCAGUAGUGGGGGAUAGCCCGGCGAAAGCCGGAUUAAUACCGCAUACGACCUGAGGGUGAAAGCGGGGGACCGAAAGGCCUCGCGCUAUUGGAGCGGCCGAUGUCGGAUUAGCUAGUUGGUGGGGUAAAGGCUUACCAAGGCGACGAUCCGUAGCUGGUCUGAGAGGACGACCAGCCACACUGGGACUGAGACACGGCCCAGACUCCUACGGGAGGCAGCAGUGGGGAAUUUUGCACAAUGGGGGCAACCCUGAUCCAGCCAUGCCGCGUGCGGGAAGAAGGCCUUCGGGUUGUAAACCGCUUUUGUUCGGGAAGAAAUCCUCUGGGCUAAUACCCCGGGGGGAUGACGGUACCGGAAGAAUAAGCACCGGCUAACUACGUG